rnacentral:rRNA from 1 species
UACGUAGGGUGCAAGCGUUAUCCGGAAUCAUUGGGCGUAAAGCGUUCGUAGGUGGUUUUGUAAGUCUGCGGUCAAAUCCAAUCGCUCAACGAUUGAAUUGUCGCGGAAACUGCAGAACUGGAGGAAGGCAGAGGCAACUGGAAUUCCGCAUGUAGGGGUAAAAUCCGUUGAUAUGCGGAGGAACACCAAAAGCGAAGGCAGGUUGCUGGGCCUUUCCUGACACUCAGGAACGAAAGCGCGGGGAGCAAACAGG